GCGUCUGUAGCUCAGGGGAUAGAGCGUUCGGCUCCGACCCGAAAGGCCGCUGGUUCGAAUCCAGUCAGACGCACCA
rnacentral:tRNA from 1 species